rnacentral:rRNA from 1 species
AAUGAAACAGCUGGCGGCGUGCUUAACACAUGCAAGUCGUACGAGUAACGCUUCAGCUUGCUGAAGCUAGUAAAGUGGCGCACGGGUGAGUAUCGCGUGGGUAAUCUGCCCUAUAGUUGGGAAUAACGUUGCGAAAGCGGCGCUAAUACCCGAUGAUAUCCUGUUGGCUUUGGCCAGCAGAAUCAAAGGUGGCCUCUUCAUGAAAGCUACCGCUACAGGAUGAGCCCGCGUCCCAUUAGCUAGUUGGCGGGGUAAUAGCCCACCAAGGCGACGAUGGGUAGCUGGUCUGAGAGGAUGAUCAGCCACACUGGAACUGACACACGGUCCAGACUCCUACGGGAGGCAGCAGUGAGGAAUUUUGCGCAAUGGGCGAAAGCCUGACGCAGCAACGCCGCGUGGGUGAUGAAGGCCUUUGGGUCGUAAAGCCCUGUCAAGUGGGAAGAAUCCAUAUGGUGUAAACAUCGCUGUAUGCUGACGGUACCACUGAAGGAAGCACCGGCUAACUCCGUGC